rnacentral:lncRNA from 1 species
GAGGGCUCAAUUCAGUGGAAGACAUACGGUUAGUUAGUUUACCAAAUUUGAAGCACGUUUGGUUCAAGAUUCCACCAGAAAUCACAGCCUUCCAAAACCUGCGAAAGUUGAUUAUACAAGAUUGUGAUAAUUUAAUAAACCUUUUCUCAAUUUGCUCGGCCAAACUUUUACGAAAGCUACAAUCAAUAGAGAUUAGAAGGUGCAAGAGGAUGGAGGAAAUUAUUGGAAAAGAGGAUGAAGAAAUUAGCACGCAAAAAAUUGAGUUCCCUCAACUAAGGUCUCUGACAUUUGAGGAUUUACCCAACCUCAACAGUUUCUGCAAUAGGAUUUAUGCUCUUGAAUUUCCAUUUCUAGAAAGAUUGGAGUUUCGGAAAUGUAAAAGGAUGGAGACAUUCUCCUAUGGAUCAUUAAGCAUGCCAAAGCUAGAGAGGGUUAUGAUUGAGGGCAGCGAUUCAGUGGAAGUAAUAUUUUCAUUUGAAGGGCUGAUUAAUGGAGUGCUCAAUUCAGUGGAAGAGAUAUGCUUAGUUAAUUUACCAAAUUUGAAGCACGUUUGGUUCAAGAUUCCACCAGAAGUCACAGCCUUCCAAAACCUGCGAGAGUUGAUUGUAAUAGAUUGUGAUAAUUUAAUAAACCUUUUCUCAAUUUGCUCGGCCAAACUUGUAGGAAAUCUACAAUCAAUAGAGAUUAGAAGGUGCAACAGGAUGGAGGAAAUUAUUGGAAAAGAGGAUGAAGAAAUUAGCACGCAAAAAAUUGUGUUCCCUCAACUAAGGUCUCUGACACUUGAGGAUUUACCCAAC